UACGAAGGGGGCUAGCGUUGCCCGGAAUCACUGGGCGUAAAGGGUGCGUAGGCGGGUCUUUUAAGUCAGGGGUGAAAUCCUGGAGCUCAACUCCAGAACUGCCUUUGAUACUGAGGAUCUUGAGUUCGGGAGAGGUGAGUGGAACUGCGAGUGUAGAGGUGAAAUUCGUAGAUAUUCGCAAGAACACCAGUGGCGAAGGCGGCUCACUGGCCCGAUACUG
rnacentral:rRNA from 1 species